rnacentral:lncRNA from 1 species
CGUAACUUCCUCUCACGAAUCCUGUCGACGCUCUAAUACCACUUGUUAUGGUGGUAAUCAAUAAAACAAUAAAGUGAAUAAUUUUAUGGGAAAACUUCAAAAACCCCCCCUGUGGUUUCGUGCAUUCUCACUUUGCUACCCUGUGGUUUAAAACGUAUCAAUUUACCCCCCUGUGGUUUUAUUUUUAUCUUUUCGGAAGCUUUUUCGUUAAUAUUUCGUUAAAUUAUAUACAAAAAACUUCAGAUAACCAUCUAUAUUUAUCGAAUAGUCACUUUAGUAUCCUUUAAUUUUAACUUUGUCACUGAUUUUUAAAAAAAAUAAUAAUAAAAUUGAUAACAAAAAGAUAAAAACGAAACCACAGGGGGGCAAAUUGAUACGUUUUAAACUACAGGGUAGCAAAGUGAGAAUGCACGAAACCACAGGGGGGGUUUUUGAAGUUUUCCCUAAUUUUAUUAAUGUGGAGAAUAAUUAAUAGAUUUGCGGUGCACUUGUUCUACAUAGUCUUAGCCUUUUAUAAUGCAUAUGGAUAACAAAAAAACAAAAUCUAAACUGAUUAACAAAAUCCCUCGUAGCAAAUCUAACUAACAAAUCUUCAUAACAAAUCUAACUUAAAAACUAACUAACAAUUUGAUCUUAUCUUUAACAGGCGUUGUAGGAAAAAUUAGUCUAUUUACACAACAAAGUAAGUACGUAUUAUAAUUUGUUGAAAGUUUGGGGACUUUCGUGCAUUUAAAUUAAUCAAAUCAGUACUUGUCUAGCGGUAAGAAGCCUAAUAAGCAGAUCAUAAGGUUAGGGCUCAUAAGUGCUCAAUAGCUUCACGAUCGUGAGGUUGGAGUUCGAGCCUUCGUGUUUGCACUGAAACUUUACUUAGGAUUCAGAAUUUCCGACCUGCAGUUUAGUUUAUACAUGUCCUUGGGAUAUGAUUGUGGAGUCUGGUAGGCUAAUGUCAACAAGUCAUGCUUUUCGCAAGACGAAAUCACCAAAAUUAACUGCAUGCAAUUUGUAAUAAAAAGCAUUCUUGGAAAGAUUAUUAAUAUCUAUAUAACUACUAUCCUAUUCACUCCAAUAUAAUUUACUAAUAUUUCAUUUUGAAAAGAUGAUAAUGAAACAAAGAACUAAGGAACUAACGUAAUCAAGAAGUACUAAUUUCCUAACUUCCGUGCACAUGUGUAUCGCUUUCACUAAGCUUGUCUUAUCACGAACUUUUUGUGUUAGGAGGGACAAAUGAGGAUCUACAUCAUUUUUGGCUUACUAGAAACCUUUCAAACAGGGGUUGGUGCGAAUUUACUUAAAAUGCUAAAACCUCUGCGUAUUGAACCGACGAAUAUGAGCUUAAUUAGUUAAUUACUAAGCUAAUUUCGAGCUCAUUUGAGUAAAACUUAAACUACUCAUGAACGUGUAAAAUAUCAUCAGUAGUUUUAAGUAUCUUCGCUUACGUACUUGAAAAGAUCAAGUGGAAAAUAACUGUUGGGGAAAAUAUAUGCAGUUAAAUCCAAUUGUAGUAAAAAUCUAACUAAUUUAGUUAUAAAAAUAAUAUUGAACUUACAGAUAAACACAAAAAUUUAAAUAAAAAAUUUAAUCUAUUCGAAAGCGUACAAGGUAAAGCUGUCCAAAAUAUCCAACGUAUCACAUCUGACCCGGACCCUACCCGAAUCCUAUCCGGACCCAAAUUGGACCCGAUAAAAAUAAAUAGUAUACGGGUAAAAAAAUUACCCAUUAAAGUUUCAGAUAUGAGUCUGGAUAUUUUAUACCCAUACCCGAUGUGGACCGGACUCGAACCCAACUUUUAAAUGAGUAGGGUCCGUAAUAGUUUUCAAAUCCGAAUUCGGACCCGGACCGGUUGAAAUAUCUGAUAGUAAAUAAAAAUGAUUUCAACUUUUGAGAGAUCAAUUUUAAUAGGACUGAUAGAUGAGGGGUCUCUAAAUAUUUUCAUCCUAGCUAUUGAAACACUGAAAUCCUAACCGGCCGCUUUUUUACUCCUUUCUUUUUUUUAAUUUUUUUACUCUUUGUUUUUUACUCAUUAUUUUUUUUGUUUUAUUUCUGCCUAAGAGUUUUUAAUGAAACAAUAUUUUCAUCGUCGUCAUGUUUUGGAGCCAACGUCUGAUGAGCCGGCGAUUGGUCUUGUUUUAACCUCGAGCUUUCAUCCUUCGGUUUUUAGCCCAUAUCAUAGGGAGUUGCCUAAGACCUUCCCCAUCGUCGCCGCAAGUUACUUUUGAGUAUUUAGAAUGCAACAACCUCUGUUUUUUAUCGAAAAAAAGUUACAUGUGAGAAUUCUAUAAAGAUAGGCAUGAGAAAUAAAUUAAUGUUAUUUUACAUCGCAAUAAACCAUUGAUAAAAGAAGAGAAAACAAAACAAAUAAUAACAGUUGAUGUUUUAAAUGUUCUUGAUGAUAAAACCAAACAUAAAGGGUUUAUUUUAAAAUAACCUAUAGUUGAGGGAUCUCCACACUUUUUCACUCUAAGGGCUUGUUUGGUUUAUCCAUUUUGGGUAUGGAAUGGGAAUCGGUUUGAUCAAAUCCGGUUAAUUUUGUUUGGUUCGCAUGAAUCGGUUAGGGAUUCCUAUUUUGGACAGGAAUGGGAAUGGCCCAUUACCCUUCAACUUAAUUCCGGUCUUCUAGCCAGGAUUGAGAUUUCAUUCCGGAAGCCCACUAAGUUCUCGAAGCCCAUGUAACCAACUCACCCUCCUUCUCUUCACCCCUUUCUCAUCAAAAAAAAAAAAAAAAACCUAUUAUCUCUCAAAACCCUAUCCCUAAUCCACAUCAAUAAAAGUUUUUAAAAAUAAAUUUGAUAUUUUUUUUUGAAAAACUUAUUAGAGAAUAGUAUUAUAUUUUUUAUAAAUUUUAAAUAAUAUAACUUUAUAUUUAAGAGUAAAAUUAAUAUUAUAGUAUCCUAUAAUUUUUUUAGUUUAUACGAAGCAAACAAUAAAAUGUGAAUAACUCAUUUCAAUUCUCAAUCCACAAAUAAACCAAAUAUCUUGGGGGAGUGGACCAUUCCAAUUAUCAUUCCAAUUCAUUUUCAAUCCAUUAUUCAUUCCAAUUCCAUCCUUGAAACAAACAAGCCCUAAGAAGUGGAGGGGAGAGAAAACAAAACGUACGAAAAAGAAAAAGAAAAAGAAAAAAAAAAGUUUAUUUUAACUCUAAAAUUAACUACAAAUUUUCAUUAAAAGUAAGUAAAGUAGUACAUUCGAAUGAUAAUUGGAAUGAAAAAAAAGAGGUCAAAAAAUAGAAAAUAAAGAUUCGCACAUACUCUUUUUUCACCGAAUUAAAAUAAAUUUGGAUAAAAGAAUUGCUCAGAAAAUUACCAAAUUUAAACAUAAUCCAGGUAAUAAAACGUUUUUAAAAAUAAAAAUAUGACAAAAUAAAGUAAAGAAAUGACUCUGUCCUCUCACUAAUAAAAAA